rnacentral:rRNA from 2 species
AAUUUGAAAUCUGGCGUCUUUGGCGUCCGAGUUGUAAUUUGCAGAGGGCGCUUUGGCAUUGGCAGCGGUCCAAGUUCCUUGGAACAGGACGUCACAGAGGGUGAGAAUCCCGUACGUGGUCGCUAGCCUUUACCGUGUAAAGCCCCUUCGACGAGUCGAGUUGUUUGGGAAUGCAGCUCUAAAUGGGAGGUAAAUUUCUUCUAAAGCUAAAUACUGGCCAGAGACCGAUAGCGCACAAGUAGAGUGAUCGAAAGAUGAAAAGCACUUUGGAAAGAGAGUUAAAAAGCACGUGAAAUUGUUGAAAGGGAAGCGCUUGCAGCCAGACUUGCCUGUAGUUGCUCAUCCGGGUUUUUACCCGGUGCACUCUUCUACGGGCAGGCCAGCAUCAGUUUGGGCGGUUGGAUAAAGGUCUCUGUCAUGUACCUCCUCUCGGGGAGAUCUUAUAGGGGAGACGACAUGCAACCAGCCUGGACUGAGGUCCGCGCAUCUGCUAGGAUGCUGGCGUAAUGGCUGUAAGCGGCCCGUCU